CACUUUUUAUAAUUGUUGAUUGACUAUAAGCUAUCUAAAAUUCUUCUUUACUUUACAUUAGAGUAUUGAAGAAUUGCAGGUGGUGGAUAGUGUAUCAUCAUCU
rnacentral:pre_miRNA from 1 species